rnacentral:lncRNA from 1 species
UGGAACACCAAGACAAGUGGCUAGAAACCUUGUACAUGAAAACAGCGGCCCACCCAAAGUUUGUCUUUUCCUAGGAAGUUAUAGAGAAAUGAGGAGGUAACAGAAGAGCAGUCAAUAAAAGAAAAAUUUCUUUAAAAGACAUAUGGGUGGGAUGAGAACGAAUGAUUCUUACUUUAUCUGUAGAAAUUGAAUUUUGCUGCAACUAAGAGAGACCUCGAAAAUAGUGAUUUACACAAAUAAAAUUUUGUUCCAUCAAGAAAACUGAUAUUCAGCAGUCCAGGCUGAUGCAGUGGCUUCAAGAGCUCUUCAGCAACCCAGGCACCUUCCAGGUCUUCUUUCCCAAUUCUAGUGCUAGUAACUCCUUCAUCUCAUCACCCAACAUGGCUACCAGAGCUCCAGACAUCACGUGUACAUCUGAGUUCCAGGAAACCAGACAGAGGGAGAAAAGAAGGGCAUGCACGCUCACUUUAAAGAAGACUUCUAAGAAGAACCACCUAAAAUUCCCCAACCUAGUCCCAAAGCUCACUUGGCUGCUUUCAAGCCUGGAAAAUGCAGUCUUUAAGCUGAAAAAUGCUAUGACAAAAUCAGGCCGGGAUCUCUACCCAAAAGGAGGCGGUUAGAACACAGGGAUUGAUCAUGCCUACAAUGACAACUGGAAAACAGAAAUGAAACCAUAUAAGCCAAGCACUCACGCAAUCUUUGUCCUCCCAGUUGACUUAAGAACACUUGUGAAGAAAAUGUGGCGUCUUUAGAUCUCAGGUCCCUUGUUUCCAACUGGUUCAAAUAAAUAGACAACUCUUCAUUCCGAUGGUACUUCUUAGAGAUAAACCACAUGCAUGUAUCAGAGAAAACAACUCUCAGCCUGGUAAAUGAACAGGAAAAACUUGGGUUAGAAUUCUAUUUCUUUCAAGGUAGAGAGCAAAUUUUCAUAAUCUCACAUGGACAUACAGACCAAGCCAUGCAUGGCACUAUCUACAUAAUCAAGGCGGAGAACACAAAAACUUGGAUAUGAAUGUUCACAGCAGCAUUAUUCAUAAUAGUCAAAAAAUGGAAACAACCGAAAUGCCCACCAACUGAUGCAUGAAUAAACAAAAUGCAGUGCAUCCAUUCAAUGGAAUAUUAUUCAGCCAUUAAAAAGGAUAAAUUACUGAUACAUGCUACAACAUGUAUGAACUUCAAAAACAUAUGCUAAGUGAAAGAAGCCAGCCAUCAAGGACCACAAAUUGUAUUAUUCAAUUUAUAUGAAAUUCUAAAGUAGGCAAAUCUGCAAAGACAAAAUAGUUUAGUGGUUGUAUAGGGCUGGGGUCAGGAGAGGAGAAUAGGAGUGACUGCCAGUGAGCAAGAGGUUUCUGGUGAAAACAUGGAACUGUUGGUGUCCCUACUUUCCAGAUGGAGAAGUUGAAGCCCGGAGAACUCAAGUUGAAAGUACAACCUGCUGGCCUAAACAAGAUGCUGUGCCUUGUCAAUUAAUGCUAUCUAUACGUUGUUUGCCAUUUUGAAGAAAGAGCUCCAGUGUGCUAAAUUUUAAUAUUUACAUACUCUGUUUAUGUGCCAUAUUGAAGUGAAACUAGAAUUUAAAAAACACAGCAAUUUGAGAAGACCUGCUGAUGAAGAUGGUAUCUGAGUAAGAAUGAAUUGAACC